GAGUUUGAUCGUGGCUCAGAACGAACGCUGGCGGCAUGCCUAACACAUGCAAGUCGAACGGGAUCCUAGCUUGCUAGGUGAGAGUGGCGGACGGGUGAGUAACACGUGGGAAUCUGCCUUUUGGUUCGGGAUAACCGCGGGAAACUGCGGCUAAUACCGAAUGCCCUCGUGAGAGGAAAGAUUUAUCGCCAGAAGAGGAGCCCGCGUCCGAUUAGGUAGUUGGUGGGGUAAAGGCCUACCAAGCCGACGAUCGGUAGCUGGUCUGAGAGGAUGAUCAGCCACACUGGGACUGAGAUACGGCCCAGACUCCUACGGGAGGCAGCAGUGGGGAAUAUUGGACAAUGGGGGCAACCCUGAUCCAGCAAUGCCGCGUGAGUGAUGAAGGCCUUAGGGUUGUAAAGCUCUUUUGCCAGGGAAGAUGAUGACUGUACCUGGAGAAUAA
rnacentral:rRNA from 1 species